ensembl:lncRNA novel transcript
GCUUACCCGCACACAGACGGUUGGCAGAGGAAGAAAGCCUUGUCACACUAAAGGAGAGACAGCGGAUGUUCUGAACAGUCCUGUCGUGAAACGUUAGACAACGUGGACGAAACAGGCACAUUCCUAAGCAUCACACAUUACUGAAACUCAGUCAAGAAGAAAUAGAAAAUCUGAAUACAUCCAUGGCAAGCACAGAAACUGAACUAGGGGAUUCGAAAUCUUCCCACAAAGAAAAGCCUAGGCCCAACUGGCCUCUAUGAUACAGCAAGAAGGUGCCAUCUAUGAAGGAGAAGACAAGCCCUCACCAGACACCAAAUCUGCUGAUGCUUUGAUCUUGGACUUCCCAGCCUCCAGAACUGCUCACACCCCUUUAUUAACUGAAGCUGACUUAACCCGAACUAUCUGAAGCUGACUCAACCCGAACUAUCCGAGAUCACACGUAAAUGUUUUCCUUCUGAUCUCAACUUUUCUCCUUAUCGUGGGGCAUGGAAAGGAGGAGAUCGCAGCAGGGAAGUUUUUGUUCUUGUUCACAUGCUAACAAUGCAAGCAGCACAAAGUACUAUGUUGCUCCCUGAAUAUUUCACCAGAAGGGUUAACUUACAUUACCCUGGAAGGAAGACAAUAAGAAAUGGUGAGCCUGAUGGAAUAGAGAGAGAGGCUGAGGAGUAGUUCUACCUGCCUGUUUUUCCAUGGUGACAGUGGAAUAUUAAUCACAGAUGGAUGAGACUUAACAUUGCUCAGACUAUCAUUAGCUGUUUUCAUCAAUCACUGUCCAGUUAUUGCUAAUCCUCUACCAUUCUCAUCCUGUGGGGGGUGGAAAAUGACAGACUGCGUGUAUCAAGCAAGGUUCCCAGGUACAAGCAACAAGAAAAAAAAAA